UUUGCAACUGUAGGGCAAAGGUAAUCACCUCAACUAUGAACAUUGCAGGCAGUUCUGCCACAAAUCUUUGCUCGGCAUAACUGAAUUACCAGCAUUCCUCCUGUAUUGAGUCAACCACCAAAAAAGGAACAAUUAACCAAACAGACAGACAUAGCAGUUGAACUUUUAAAUGGCUAGCAAUUUGUACAUCCCUCCACCUUGCAGUCCAACGCCCGAUGGUUUUACUUCCCAACUAAUCUCCGAAGGCAAAACCCAUCAGGACAGAACCACAGAAGACCUACUUAAGAUAACAGGAUGCACACUGCAAUGCAUUAUUCAGCUCAAUUACCCAAAAUGCUUCUGAAACCAAAAUUCAAAUAACUACGACCUGACAUGCUUAUGCCACAGCUCAAGGGUAGUAGAUAUCAACUGGUCAUAUAGACACAGUACAGUAACAAGAGUUAACUUUAUUCCUCAGAAAACUAUCUGAAUCGACGGUAUUACAAUAUUGUACAAAGGCUAACUUUGAUGUAUGCAAAUCAAAUUGUGCACGCUCCUACACACACCUAAGGUGAUCUCAAUCAAGUAUCGAAAAGAGGGUACCAUACUGAAAUGCAGUGGAAACACACAAACAUGAUGCCGGAUCACUCUUCAGUUUCACUGUGAUAUUCACCUCCAAUGAGCUAUUCUACAUCAAAAGCACCAAACUCCAUCCCCG
rnacentral:lncRNA from 1 species